rnacentral:rRNA from 1 species
UACGUAGGUGGCAAGCGUUGUCCGGAUUUAUUGGGCGUAAAGCGAGCGCAGGCGGAAAGAUAAGUCUGAUGUGAAAGCCCCCGGCUUAACCGAGGAACUGCAUAUAAAACUGGAGGGCUGGAGUGCAGGAGAGGUAAGCGGAAUUUCUAGUGUAGCGGUGGAAUGCGUAGAUAUUAGGAAGAACACCGGAGGCGAAGGCGGCUUACUGGACUGUAACUGACGCUGAGGCUCGAAAGCGUGGGGAGCAAACAGG